GACGAACGCUGGCGGCGUGCUUAACACAUGCAAGUCGAACGGAAAGGCCCUGCUUUUGUGGGGUGCUCGAGUGGCGAACGGGUGUGUAACACGUGAGUAACAUGCCCUUGAAUUUGGGAUAACUUCAGGAAAAUGGGGCUAAUACCGGAUAGGAGAUCCUGCUGCAUGGGGGGGGUUGGAAAGUUUCGGCGGUUGGGGCUGGACUCGCGGCUUAUCGGCUUGGUGGUGGGGUAGUGGCGUACAAAGGUUUUGACGGGUAGCCGGCCUGAGAGGGUGACCGGGCACAUUGGUACUGCGGUACGGCCCAGACGGCUACGUGAGGCAGUAGUGGGAAACAUUGCACAGUAGGCGCAAGUCAGAUGCAACAACGCCGCGUGCGUGAUGACGGCUUUCUGGUUGUAAACCGCUUUCUCCUGUGACGAAGCGUGAGUGACGGUAAUUGGUAAAGAAGCACCGGCUAACUACGUG
rnacentral:rRNA from 1 species